AAUCAGUAGCACGUAAGGAAACAUCUUUGCGGUUUGUUUCUUUGCCGUGGUGGGGAUCGGGAUAUCUGCUGGGCAAAGGCUCUACCACGGAGCCAACCCCCCACGAAAGGAGAGUUUUAAAAUGCUUAACCCCAGCUUCAAGUAUCAUGAAGGGCAUUCCCCAGUACGCUACUUUCUGAACAGGACAUCAGCUUUGUGAGGCUAUGACAUCUGUACACAUAGCUCUGGAUUUCAGCUACCCGCUGGUCUAUAACGAGCCGGAAAAGAGCAGCAGGCCUGGCUUGAACACUGGCAGUUUCUCCCAGUAGGAAAAUAACUCGAAAAGCACUCUUCAUUGCCCAGUAUUAGUUCUUGCAGGUCAAGCCAAAAUGCCUAUUUAGGUUGGAAAUUUUGGUAUAACAUACUCUCUGUGCCUAAGGCUAGAUAUUGACAGUUCUUGUCUUUGAAUAGUUACAAAUAAGCUGGUUACGAAGUCCUACCGGCUUUAUUUUCUGACCCCAGAAAAUGUCACAGCACUCAACAUUAGUACAUGAACUCUCGCUCAGACCACACUGAUGGCUCUCUGCAUCCUUCAAAGGCCUAUCUAACUAUGAAUCUAAUUAAAAUUGUUUAUUUAUUUUAUACGUAUGGGUGUUCUGUCUGCGUGUAUGCUUGCAUUACAUGCGUGCAGUGCCCUUGGGGACCGGCAGGUGUCAUAGUCCCUGGGGCUGGAGUGCAGGUGACUGUGAGCCAACAUGUGGGUACUAGGAAGAGAAGAUGGUUUUCUCGCUGAAGUAAACCCUGUCUUCUCUAACUUGUUUAUGGUUGCGAUGUUUUAUCACAGCAGUAGAAGCCCUAACUAAGACAGAUGUGCUCCCUGAAACAGCCCUGCUUCAGAAAAGACUGCCUGGAUCUCGCCAGACUAGACCACAAUGAGGAUAUACUGACAGAUUUCCAAUCAGAGCAGAUGGAGACUGGUGGGCCAAAGAGUUUCAGAAGUGCAAGGUGCUUGCUAUGGCUGCCUUUUCAAGGGACUCGACUUGGCGGCUUACCAAAACUGGAUACGUUCUGGAAAGAAGCUUCCAUGGC